ACACUGAUGGUGAAGCGGUUAUCAUGCUUGCCUUCCAAUCUGAGCCAUAAGCAAGCGGCAGGGGUUCGACUCCCCUUCAGUGUA